rnacentral:rRNA from 1 species
GGGGGGGGGGGGGGGGGGGGGGGGGGGGGGGGGGGGGGGGGGGGGGACGGGGGGCGUGCGCCUCUGGCGUUGGCGGCGGGCGGGUGAGUGGCGCGGUGAUAACCGACCUAUAAGACUGGGAUAACUUCGGGAAACCGGAGCUAGUACCGGAUAAUAUAUUGAACCGCAUGGUUCAAUAGUGAAGGACGGUUUUGCUGGUACUGAGAGAUGGAUCCGCGCCGCAUUAGCUAGUUGGUAAGGGAACGGCUUACCAAGGCGCCGAUGCGUAGCCGACCUGAGAGGGUGAUCGGCCACACUGGAACUGAGACACGGUCCAGACUCCUACGGGAGGCAGCAGUAGGGAAUCUUCCGCAAUGGGCGAAAGCCUGACGGAGCAACGCCGCGUGAGUGAUGAAGGUCUUCGGAUCGUAAAACUCUGUUAUUAGGGAAGAACAAAUGUGUAAGUAACUAUGCACGUCUUGACGGUACCUAAUCAGAAAGCCACGGCUAACUACGUG